AUUAUUCGCGGAUGUGCCAUAGCCAAGUUUUGCAGCCUGUUGGAACAUAACGACCAAAGAAUCUAAGGUUUCCUCUGCAGUCGGUAUAAUUUGACUUGCUGGCAGAAUAAAGCCGUAUCUUCCUGUGUCUCGAAGUUCAGAAUGCUUUUUCACCAGGGUAUAUAUCGCUGCAUGGAUUUCGGCUGGUACCACCCUCUAAAAUAUUGAUAGAAGCAACGUAACAGAAGCGCCACUUUUCAGCAGUCGUUACCUGCCCAAUGGAAAUUCCAGUUUCUGUUUGGAUCAGCUCCGUAACAACCCCUUCCAGAAGGUCUUCUGGUCUUCCGCCAUAGACGAUUCUAAACAGCCAAAGAAAACAAUAUAAUUUACAGAUAACAGGCCGAUAGCAGAAUGAAAUAAUUUAAAGAAGAUAUUCGACGAUCUUAUCGUAAGAAGUAUCGUUUAAAUAGCGAUUUGCGUCAAAGUCGUUUGUGAAUACCCACUUUAUCAUUUUUGUUGAUGGAGGAAAUAGUUUUGAUUGCGAACGAAACAAACGUGUAAUCGAAACCUACAUCUGCCGUAGAAAGCGAGGAUGUUCAUGUAUUUAUGGAAAGUUUAUGGAAAAGAAUUGGAAAAAUGCGCACGAUCUGCCUAACUUACAAAAGUAUUAUACAAGAUCAUCGAGAUAUACCUAGUGUUCCUUUUUAGCGAUUAAACAUUGUUUGCGUUAUACGAAAACUAUGAAAGCGUUCUUACCAUAGUAUGAGUGUACUCGUAGCCAUCAGGAUUGAAUACAGGGAAAAUAUACCAAUCGUACGACUCCGCCAUAUAUCUGACACGAGAGUCAUCGCUAAGGAUCAAUUCGUUCAGGAUGAAAUCUUUACGCCUCUGAUACUCCUGCCUUCGUAGCUACUUCCGCCGGUUAUUGGUUUCACUAUCUUAGGAUACUGCGUUACGAGGGAAUCUAGCCAGCUAUAAAUCUGAAAGGAAGAUGUUCGAUCAAUAAUGCGUUGCCUUCUAAAAGGACAAACGAUGAAAUUAAUUACUUUAUUUAAAUCAUUUAAUUAUAUAACAAAAUUGAAUCGUGCUUUUACAUUUAUCGAUGUUUACUUUAUAUUCUUAAUAACUGAUAAUAAAUUAAUUCGACAAUUUUAUACUUAGUAAAUUGCACGUAGUAUUGCGGUAUAUUGCGAUAUAGUAGCGCAUUAGUAUGAUGGAAUGGUAAGAUGGUGAUAAUUUAAUGCGAAAAUAUAGUACGCUGGGAUAAUAAUAAUAUUGCAGGAAAACGUGAUAGUAAAGUAUAGUGAAAUAGAGUGACAACGGUGUAGUAUGAUAUUACGAAAACAUUGUAGUAAUAUCGAUAGUACGUUAUUGUUUACGAUAGCACAAUACCAUGGUGAUACCAUUUUUUUAUUUUGAAAUUUUAUUAUAAUUCUUAUGGCAAUUUCGAAAUAUUUUUGCUCGUGAAAUAAACGAUGAUAACUGAACUGACGGAAGGAAAAAGGAGAGAAAAUUUAAAUUAAUCCAAUCGGUGAUAACCGAGCCAGUCGAAACCACCUCUUACAUUGCCACGAGGAUUCUCAUCGUCGAUAUACCUUUGCACGUCGUCCAUCAUCAAUUCUGGUUCAAGCUUCGACGUGUUCACUUUUUCCAUGAAUUCUUGGAUCUUUGCCGGAGCGAUCAUCACUUCUGCGGUGUUGUUGAUCCUCGGUGGAUGCCAUAAAUGUGGCAUAAACACUUCCAAGAAGAAAAAGAAGAUGCAGAAGAAUAGCUCGCGUCGUGGAAUUUGACUGCAUUUCGACAAUUAGUAACGAGAGAACCUAUCAAACUUUGGAAAAUUUAUCAUAGGAUCCUAAACACUGUCCCUGAAAUAUAGCGAGGCUUCAGAAUUUUCCAACGCGAUCGAUUCGCGGCCAAUGUUCUAGCGAGAAAGUUGCGCUUUCUCACGGCGACUUUGAACCGGAGACUAAUCGAUAUCGCUUUCUUUUCCGUCUGAA